AGCGGCGAGUGAAGCGGCAAUAGCUCAAGUUUAGAAUCUGUGGCCGUCUCGGUCACCGAAUUGUAAUCUAAAGGGGUAAACAAAAGGGGAAAUCGAGGUAUAAGUUCCUUGGAACAGGACAUCAUAGAGGGUGAAAAUCCCGUAUGUAACCUCUGUUGAACCGAAUGUUUUCCUUCUAAGAGUCGGGUUGUUUGGGAUUGCAGCUCUAAAUGGGAGAUAAACUUCUUCUAAGGCUAAAUAUCUAUGGGAAACCGAUAGCGAACAAGUACUGUGAAGGAAAGGUGAAAAGAACUUUGAAAAGAGGGUUAAAAGAUUUGAAAUCGUUGAGAAGGAAGCAGUAAAAGUGGAUUUAUAUUAGCUAUGAAGUAAACCUCGUAAGGCACCAGCUCGUAGUGGUUUCGGUACGUCAUUGGCUACCUGCUACGAUGUAAUGGCACUUUGAGGUGUUUUCAUAGUUAAAGAGCAGAACCAGGUCUUAUACUACUGUAUUCAAUGGUGAGAUAGCCCGCAGGUUUACUUGCGAGUCUUGCCCUAAAACAGCAGCUUGGCCUGAG
rnacentral:rRNA from 1 species